rnacentral:rRNA from 1 species
ACCAGAGCCGUAUCUCCCUGCCGUUCUCCCCUGGUGUCCCACUGAAGAUAAGCAGGGUUGAGUCUGGUCAGUACCUGGAUGGGAGACCUCAUGGGGUCCUAAGGUUGCUGCUGGAA